rnacentral:rRNA from 1 species
GGCUCUUUGAUAAGACUAUAUAAAGAGUCGGACCUGCCCAGUGAAUCUGUUUAAACGGCCGCGGUACUCUGACCGUGCAAAGGUAGCAUAAUCAUUUGCCUUAUAAUUGAAGGCUGGUAUGAAUGGUUUAACAAGAAUAAAGCUGUCUCUUUAUAAUUAAAUAGAAUUUUAUUUUUAGGUGAAGAAGCCUGAAUUUAAUUAAAAGACAAGAAGACCCUAUCGAGCUUUAAAUAAAUUAAUAGGACUAUAAUAAUUAAUAGUUAAAAAAUCAACUUCAACUUAUUUUGGUUGGGGCGACAAAGGAACAUGAAAAGCUUCUUUUUAUUCAGAAUUUAAAACAUAUAAGUAUUGAUCCAAAGAGUUUUGAUUAAAAGAAUUAGUUACCGUAGGGAUAACAGCAUUAUCUUUUUUGAGAGCUCAUAUCGAAAAAAAGGUUUGUGACCUCGAUGUUGGACCAGAAUAUCCUAAAGAUGCAGAAGUCUUUAAGGGUUGGUCUGUUCGACCAUUAAAAUUCU